GAACGGGUGAGUAACACGUGAGUAACCUGCCCCAGGCUUUGGGAUAACCCUCGGAAACGGGGGCUAAUACCGAAUACUCAUGCUACGUGGCAUCACGUGGUGUGGAAAGUUUUUCGGCUUGGGAUGGGCUCGCGGCCUAUCAGCUUGUUGGUGGGGUGAUGGCCUACCAAGGCGACGACGGGUAGCCGGCCUGAGAGGGCGACCGGCCACACUGGGACUGAGACACGGCCCAGACUCCUACGGGAGGCAGCAGUGGGGAAUAUUGCACAAUGGGCGGAAGCCUGAUGCAGCGACGCCGCGUGAGGGAUGAAGGCCUUCGGGUUGUAAACCUCUUUCGACAGGGACGAAGCGCAAGUGACGGUACCUGGAGAAGAAGCGCCGGCCAACUACGUGCCAGCAGCCGCGGUAAGACGUAGGGCGCGAGCGUUGUCCGGAUUUAUUGGGCGUAAAGAGCUCGUAGGCGGCUUGUUGCGUCAGCUGUGAAAACCCGCAGCUCAACUGUGGGCUUGCAGCUGAUACGGGCAGGCUUGAGUUCGGUAGGGGAGACUGGAAUUCCUGGUGUAGCGGUGAAAUGCGCAGAUAUCAGGAGGAACACCGGUGGCGAAGGCGGGUCUCUGGGCCGAUACUGACGCUGAGGAGCG
rnacentral:rRNA from 1 species